GUGGAUUGUCAUCCACAUUUGAGGUACCCUUGUAUAAUAAAACUGAGGCCGUUGGAAGACGUGCCAAAGCACAACAGUUCUGCUAAGGACAGGAUUCAGUAGAGAGCCCCUGUGGAGGCUGCAUGCAUACAGAAGGUGCACUUAAUGCUGCACUGAAACAUACCUGAAUCUGCUGGAUGUAUUUGGGCAUCAUCUCAGCCACAUACUCCCCAAAUGCUGUCAGUUGGUUGUGGGCGACUGCAUCCUUGGGCCGCAUGGUGGCUGUGGAGAAGGCAUGAAGAGUUCCACCUGCUCACAUCCCUGCUUCCUGCUCGCUCCUUGUCCCGACGGUCCACCCUCUCACCUUGGAUAUCCUUACCCUGAGCCAACCUUCAAUAAACUAUUCUAAAUCUACUCCCGCCGCUUCAGUCUGCUUUUGGGU